rnacentral:lncRNA from 10 species
AUUUAUUCAAUGAAAUAUUAUUCUGAAAUAAAGAGGAAAGAACAACUAAUAUUUGCAGCAAUGUGGAAGAAUUCCAGAAACGCUGUGAUGAGCAAAGGAAGCCAGGCACAAAAGAGUUCAUUCUGUAUGAUUCUAUUUAUAUAAAGUUCUAGAACAGGCAAAACUGAUCUGUGUUGAGAGAAAGUAGGACAGUGAUUGCCUGUGGCAGGGGGCAUUGACUGGAAAAGAUGCAUGAGGAAAGGUCUAUAUCUUAUCCGGGGUGCUGGUGGCACAGAUGUACACAUUUGUCAAAUCUUACCACAUCGCACACUUAAAAUCCAUUCAUUUUGUUAUAUGUAAAUUACACCUUAAUAAAUAUUUCAUUAGAAAAACAAAUCUGCACAGGGUUUAUUUGUAUCGGGAACAAACAUGGCAAAAGUUAGGAUCUGGCAGUUAGGAGGUGGUUACGUAUGCAUUUGUUAUUUGUUGUAUUAUUUUUGUGCUUUUCUGUAUGCUUGAAACAAGUCCUAAUAAAAAUAUUUUAAAAGUUUAAAAUAGAAAUACAGAAUAAUCAAAUCCCAAGUUAGAAAAGAUCUUAAUGUUCAUUUAGUCCAACUUCCAAUUUUGAGCUUGCAUUCCAUUAAAACAUCCCUGGUAGGUGGUCUUCCAGACUGGAUGGGAACUCACUGAAGGAGAGUGCUUCCUACCUCCUAGGGCAGCAUAUUCCAAAACUAGCAUGGUGAGUGCGGCAGGCAGACAGGUACAGGGAUAGGAUGCUAUGGAAACUCAAGGGGAGAAGGAAGCACCUGCCCUCCUUAAAAGCAGAUGGACUCCAGAACCACCAGGAGCUGGCACUGGAGAUGUAAUAGGCAGCAAAACUGACCCAUCCUUGCAAGCGGCAGAGCUGCGGCUGAUAGUUUGAUACUACUUAAAGGUCUUGUUCUUUCUUCUCUAACACUUUCCAUGUCUACUAGCACUGAACUAGCUUCAGGGCUUUUAGGAGUAGAUCAAGGAGGGAGACAGCGACCUUGGAGCCAGGCCUGUUAAGAGUCAGAGCUGGGAGGCCAGGCCGGACGCUGGGCACAUACUGAGAGGGGCCCCCUCCCUUCUAUCCAGAACAGGAGUAAGGUAAAAAGGACAUUCUGGAAACCGUGGUGCAAGCUAUCAAGGAAUUUUCUUAAUGGCAACAUUGACCACCCAGCCAAAGAGUAGGGGCAGGCCAGCUCUUCCACGACAUCACAGGACAGAAGCGGCUCUGCCUGCUGGCCUUCCUCCUGCCAGGGCUUCACCAUCACUGGGGAAAGCAGGGCUCCGGGGACCCUGUGACCCUGGUUGGACCUAUUUCAACCUCUCCCUGUGCAGGAUGAGGUCCAAGGGCAAGCUGCAGAUUGGCUUUCCUAUCACUUAGGGUUCUCAGGUUGCCAGCAACAGAAAACAACUUAAUCUAGGCAAGAAAAUGAACGUAUGAGACAGAUACAAGUAGUUCCCAGAGUAGCAGAAAGAACUGAAUAACCAGGCUUGGAGGGACAGGAAUCACGGCCAGCUGGGAUCUGAGGAGCACAAUCACAUGGAUGGUCCUAUUGGGACAAAUUCAUGCCAGCUGUUCCCAUGUCUGCUCAAGAGAAAGAGAGUCUGAUAGGCUGGCCUGGGGGCAUGGGGGUAUCCAUUGUAGGCAGGCAUUUUGAUUGGCAAUUCCACCAAGACCAGAGAUUUCUCCAAGGGAAAAUGAUGGUGCAGUGGCCAGAAGAAGUGCUGGGCAGGUGAAAUGCCCAAAAUACUUCCAGUGCCCUCAGUGUCUAAUUUGUGUCCUCAUCUGCUACAGGGCAUUUGCAAGGCACUGCGAUACCACAGAGCAACAUGGCGCACUGAGCCCGAAUGGCCCAACUAACCUCAAGGCUCCCCCAGGGCCCUCUCUCCUGUUUGUAUCCCAAAUAGCCCACCAAAGACCUGGAUAGUGUGGAGUUCUGAAUGAACUCUCCAAAUCCACCAGACAAAUUAUUGUCCACAAUGUGAGCUUCCCAGGAUGUCCGUUUUGGCCCAACCUAAGCUCAAAUUGCGUGGGAGAUUUUUCUAAGCAAACCCCACGCUGACUCUUCCUGAGUCACCUCUGUCUCUGUCUGGCUGAGCACGUCCAGGUCUUCCUUUGCAAGCUCUGCCAAAAACCAGGCUUUAGGGAAGUCUGUUCCUUUUGGAGGCUGUGAUGUGAGCCAGGCAGGUAGAAGAGGCCCACAGCUCUGGAUCUAAUCUUGGCCUUCCAUAUAAUUUGUACUGACUCCAGGGGUGGCCAGGACCAGGAGGCAAGAUAAGGUAGCCCAGGCAGCACAGGGUCUGGAGUGGAGGCAGGGCACAGGAUGGGGAUGCCCCAUGGGACAACCUCAGCUUCAGGCUGCAUAGAAUUUUCACGAAUCUGGUUAGCAUCACUCAUUCAUUCACUAGAAACAUGUGAUCCUCAAGUGCAGGGUUUCUCAUUCAUUUUUUUCGCUGCUGUGGCUCCACUGCCCAGAGCAGCACCCAGCCCUUCUGGGAGUCACUAUGUCUUUGUAGCAUGAAUGCAUAAUAACAUGGCGUUAUCUUCUUUGCAAAACCACGGUGGGAUCCUCUUCCCCACCGGCCGGGACUGCCUGUGGAAAGGGGCUCCGAAAGCCCCCCUUCUGCUAGGUUCCGGCCAUCAGAGGCAGCCGUGUGACCCAGGCAGGCAGCUGGCCAGCGGCUCUGCAGUACUCAGGGCUGAGGAUGAGUCAGGAGUUCCUCCGCCCUCAGUACUAGGCUGAAGAGGCUGUGACGCGCCCGGUGGCCCCUCUGGGCAGUGGCUGGCAGCAGAAACACACACGCAGCAGACACACUCGGCUUCCUCGCCUGGAGAGCCGGGAGAGAGCAGUCUCUUCUGUUAUACUCCCAGUGUACUUCCAUCUGCAGCACACAGGACAUCACAGAUUGUCAACGCUGUCACACAGUACUGCUCUGGUUAUUCCUCGUGGUUAUCUUUGCUCCUCAGGGAGAUGGUGAGUGUCCAGCUCCAUGGAAGUCCUCUUGAGCUUGCCAGGUACACAGACCCCCUGCGAGUCUCUGUAAACUUGGGCAUUCUGUGUGCUGGGCUCUUGAUUUCUUGCAAACUGAUUUCAGAAUUCACUUAUAUAAAUUUUUUUUUAUUUUACUUUUUCUUUUUUCUGUUUAUUUAGAGACAAGUUCUCCCUCGGCUGCCCAGACUAGAGUGCAGUGGUGUGAUCAUAGCUCACUGAAGCCUCAAACUCCUAGGCUCCAGAGAUCCUCCCACCUCAGCCUCCUGAGCAGCUGAGACUACAGGCAUGCACCCCCACACCUGGCUAAUUUUUUAAUUUUUUGUAGAGACGGGUCUCACCAUGUUGCCUAGGCUGGUCUCAAACUCCUGAGCUCAAGCAAACCUCCCAUUUCGACCUUCCAAAGUGUUGGAACUCCAGGUGUGAGCCACCACACCCGGCCCACUUAUAGGUUUUUUGAGCUAUAAUCGCCACUGCACUCCAGUCUGGGCG